CCCUGCCGCUCAUUUUCUUUGGCUGCAAAGAGGAUCCAGUUCUGGACGUCACAGAGCCCGUUCAGGCCCAAACCACAAACCGGAUAUGCUUUUCUUUUCCUUUCCCUCCUUUCUGUGUGUUUGCGGGGUUAGUUCAUCCUUGUGUUUCGCCACAGCCAUUGAAAUGUUCUUGUUUGCUUGUUACUUAACCACACAGAGUGUCAGUCACUGAAGGUACCUGUUGCCAGCUGAGCAAACAGCCCGGGACAGAAAGCAACGUUUCCUCAACUCUCCGCGGUGCCGUGUUUCUCCACUACUUCAGUGUCACCUUGGACAUAUUUCAAAGUUCAGCCUCAUGAGGAAAAGAGAACCGUGUUGGCUUGAGAAUCGCCUGUGCUCGUCACGAGCUGCGGGUCACGUCACAGGAGAGUCUGCCAGACUGCUUUCUGGUGGAAGAACUUAUGAAGUAGUUUUGUCACCUAAGUGAACUUGAAUCUCCUCAAAAUCUCAACAAUAAAUCUAAGAGCAUGUUCAUGGGAAACUCAGAGGACAGAGCGACAUGUCAAACCACGUCACGGGCGUGCAGUAAGUGAAAUCGUGCUGUGUGGAUCAGUAGUCGAUUUCUUUACAUUGCUGAGUGGUACAUUACUCAGCUUCUACUUCUAUCUGAAGACGAUGACAGUGCCUGUCUCAACACAUCUUGGUGAGCAUUAAGCAUUAAAAUGUGUUGAAAGCUUUGUUAAGAUGAUAGGAAAAAAGUAUCACCCUUUCCAGCAAAUUUAAAAAUUUUUAAAAUACUUCCUAAGAUGGUAGGGAAGACAAGUGUCUAUAUUUUAAUUUGUGUUUCAUUGCCAGUGAGAGCACACAUCUUUGCUGCUUUUUGAUGGGGGAACAAGCACAGGUGGAGUGGUCCUCUGGCCUCAGGCUCACUGCUGAGCUAUGGUUUGGCUAUCACAGAGCAUCUCUUUUCUGCAAGAGCCGUAGGGUCACCCAAAUAUAAAAGAACAUGAAGAAAAAGGGUGGGCUACGCCCCCUUUUUGCCAUGAUGCUCAGAAACAGUAGUUGCGGCCCUUCUCUGGUCACCCCAUAGUGUGAUGGAAUAUUCUGGAAAGCCUCUAGGUGGGAACGUUGCAGGAGAUGGCUUUUAUGAUUGGCCUGAGUCGGAAGCUGCCCCCCUCCAUGCCUCCAUUCACUCAACACUUCUGUGCUGUAUCUACACAGUGACUUGUGCACCCCUAUGCCAGUGUGAGUACUGCAUCUUCCCACCCAGGAGACCCUGAAGUCUAGCAAAGCCUAGCUAUUCAGCACUUUGAAUAACAAGUGUGGUUAAUCAGUACUGUUGGUGCUCUAGUGGGAAGAAGUACAAAGCCUGAGUACCUUUCUGCAGGUGAGGAUGGCUUCACAGGGGAAGUGACAAAAUAGAGCUAGAUCUUAACAAUAAAUAUGAGCUUGUCAGCUGGAGAAAAGAGAGGAGAGCAUCUGACACCAAGCUGUGGGGAAACAAUGGGUGAUUUGCAACGGGAGCACCAAGGAUGAAUUUUGGUAGCCACGCGACCGAGGUCUAACAGAGCUGAGCAGAAGUGAUGUGCACGACUCCAAGCCCGGAGUGUGGGCUUCAGCCCCCUCUGCAGGCUCUGCUCUGCUCUCGUCCCCUUCCAGAUGGGGACACCGCCCACGUGGUUAUGGAAGCCACGCUUGACGAUGGCAGAGACUAUCACCCUGGCGACCAUAACAAUUUUGUGAGAGGGCUGCCCCACCAGUAUUUUGCCCCUGGUAUUCAUAAGUGAGCAGGAAAUAGCUUCUGUUGUCUUUGACAUUAUGUAUCAAAUAUACUAGCUUACUGUGUGCUUACUAAAUACAAAUAAGCCAGCUUCCAGUAACCAGUAAACCGCGGGCAGGGAGGGAAAAAUAGUGAAGGGCUUUGAAUGCCACACCAGGGAGUCUGGGUUUAUUGCUGUAGGAACAGGAUGACUUUUUUGUUUGUUUGUUUGUUUUUGCGGUACGCGGGCCUCUCACUGCUGUGGCCUCUCCCGUUGCGGAGCACAGGCUCCGGACGCGCAGGCUCAGCGGCCGUGGCUCACGGGCCCAGCCGCUCCGCGGCACGUGGGAUCUUCGCGGACCAGGACACGAACCCGCGUCCCCUGCCUCGGCAGGCGGACCCUCAACCACUGCGCCACCAGGGGAGCCCAACAGGAUGAUUUUUAAACACAGAGUGACAUGCUGAGUGUGCGUGUGGAAUGAGUGGGACACACCUUCCAAUCCACGGACAACACCCUGGUCUCUGAGAUCUUUGCGCGUUACGAAUUCCUUCAUCAGCCUCCACUAGACUGAACUUUUGGAAGUGCCAGAUAUGAACCCCACUGGCAUCUUGAGAGUCUGCAGGGUCCUCAGAAAUAAGCUAGAAGGUAUUUGAAGAGGGUUCUUUAACAAUCACAAAUUCCUCCUCUUCCUCUGUGUAUGCCCUGUGCAAUACGCAAUGUGGCUAUCUAUCAAGAGAUAGGGUACGUCAGCUCCUCCCCUGAAACAGAGGCACGGCCAUAUGACUUACUUGGGCUCAAGGGACAUUAGCACACACGACACAAGUUGGCUCAAAACACACUUGUGUAUUGGAGCUCGGUCACGCUUGCUCCCUGGGGCCUCCAGGUAAAGAAGUCUGGGCUGGUCUCCUUAAGAAUGAUAUAGAACAUAUGGAGAAGGGCAGACAGACAUGUGAAGCCAUCUUAGAGGAAUCAUCCCAAGCAAUCCAUCAGAUGAUUGGGAAGCUCAUGAGUGACCCCAGGUAAGACCAGCAGAAGACCUGCCCAGCUGAGCCCAGCCCAAGUUGCCAACCAGAGAAUCAUGAACAAUAACCCACUAAGUUCUGGGUAUUUUGUUACACAGCAAUAGAUAACUGAUACAAUGCAUGGGAUAUCUCACUGUUGAGAAGAUCCCAGUUGAUGCCAGUACAGAAGAAAUAAGCCAUAGACUCACAACCCCUACCCCCAUUCCCUCAGAGCUCUCAGAGACUCAACAGAGCAGCUGCUAAUAUUCUGUUUGAACAUAUGGAUUUAUUUUUCUAUAAAACAGAAAGAAAAUAAUUUCCUUUAGUCACUCCAGUUUUGUUUCUGAUAGUUCUUGUGCUUCUAUUUUUUCCCUUCUCUUCUUUCUAGUUUCUGUUGUAAGAAUAGUCUAGUUGUUAGAUAUUUUAACUCCGCGCACAUGCCUCUCUCUACCUGGGGUAACACCAGAAUGUUGAAAUUUCCUUUGCUUUUGUGGACGCUCAUGCUUCUUUCACAUGUAGCUUCAUUACUUCCUCUUUUCAAUUUCUUAAAGAUAGCCCUUAAUUAAGAAAGAAGAACCUUCUUUAGAUUUCUUAAUGUUUUCCUUGACCUUCUCUCCCAAAUUAAAUAUGUAAUCUUUAUAUUACAAUUACCUGAAAUUAUCAAUAUUAUUUACAUAAAUCUCUGUAUAGAACCCUGUCUUCUGUAUGACAGGAAUUGGCAAUAUGAAAAAAAAAUUCAGAAUCACAUGAUAGGGAAAGUUGUUAGCUAUAGAACACUUGCUCAUCAACGAUUCUUUAAAUUUCACCAUUAGAAUGCAUCUCUCACUAGAGAUUUAUCUUUUCUAUCUGAAAAGUCUUAUCUUUCAGCCAAAAGUUUAACAUCAUUGUGGCUUCUUCUCUGCCAUUUGUGCAUUCAGUCACUAUUCACUGAGUUUUCUGAAUACUCAGCUGGGGCAUGGAGAUAGAAAGAUGAAUACAAAACUCUGCCUUCAAGAGAGAAAGCACGGUGAUAGAAAAAUAAUAUUACUUCAACGUGCUAAGUGUCAUAAUAGACACGCACAGGGCAUUCCAGGAGGCAGAGAUCUGUGUGUGUGUUUGGGGGUAGCUGUGAAUAAGGAAAGGUCUGAAGAAGGAGAUACUGGAUUAGGCUGUAAGUUACAAGUAGGGGUUAGUCGUGAGAUGUGUAUGAGAUGUGGGGGAAGCAUGUAAUGUGAGGCAGGGCAGGAUGAGAAGGCGGGUGGACAGAGCCUGUCCAGUGGUCAGAGGCUGUAGCGAACCAGGUUGAGGAGUAGACUUCAUCUUGUAAAGCAGAGUGAGCCGUGGAGGAUUGCCAGUAAGGGAGUAACGCUGAAGACGCGAUGGUGGGUUUGAAAGGGUGAGGAGACCAUCGGAGCCUGUGAUCCUUGCAUCCUGGAUAGAGAACGAAGACGUGAAGUAAGAUGGUGCCGGCUUUGGGCUGUUAUGAGGCCAAGGCUUUAUCAACCUUUGUUUCAAGCUUUAUUCCCAGGCUUCUUCAGCUUAAUUAGCUGCAAAGAAUGAAUUGUAUAAGUAAAAACUGAAAAGAGCUGCAGUAUCGAAGGGGCAGGAAUGAAAAGAAGAGAUAAAUGAGGAAAUGUUUAGAAAGCUGAGCUGGCAGAAGUUAAAUUUGAUUGGCUGUGUGAAGUAAGGGAGAAAGAGUCAGGGUGACUUCUGGGGGUCUCGUUUGGUGAGGUGUGAGAGCCCUGACGUGGGUACACAGGAGGAGACGCACCAGCGGCGGAGGGGACCUUUUCAGCCUCUGCAGAACGCUCUCAGCGCUAAUAUGGCAGAGCCAUUUGUCAUUGGCUCAGUUUGCUGGACACAUGACCGGUCAAGUUCAUCCAACUGGAACUUGCCUUCCUUGCCUUCUUAAUUCAUUGCACCAGGUGAGGAUUUUGGCUGGAGUAUGAGGAAGAGAAUCAAGCCUUGGUCAGAAAUGUGACACCAUCAAUCGCAAACUUGUUGAUUUCAAUAGAUACACAGUCCAGAGGAAAUUUCCCAGAUGCUGUUGUCACUGCGUGCGGAGACUAAGCCUCACUUCAUGAUCGGACCGGCUGCUCUCCCUCCUUGAGAGGUGAAGCUAUUCCUCCUGCUUCCAUGUGACCGUGGUCACUGACACGAUGGAAUAAGCAGUUGGCUUAAUGAUGUCACUUAAUGGGCUGUGGAAUUUUAAUGCAGGCAGUUCUUCGUGUAAAUACUGUCAGGAAAGAGGUUUUCCUUUCUUUUCUUUCUUUUUUUUUUAAUCUUCAAGAGAAGCUGUUUUAAUUAAACAAAGGGCAGGAACUUCCUUCCUGAAUGGUUAAAGCCCUCUUGAUUAUACUAGCAAUGUGCUGAUUACAAACUGCUCCUUGGCCAUUUCUGCUGCAUUUACCAGAAUCCUUGUUAAAUAACAUUUUCCCAAAAACGAUGCGAGAAAAAGCAAACAAUGGAGCAUACAAGUGGUUGACAGAUAGGAAAAAACUCAACGAAUAGAAAAGCUUUUAUGCUUCUUCACUUUGAGAUAAAGGAAAAAAAUAUACACCUUUCUCUUUAAAAUAUUAUUUUUAGGUAAAAAGUUGGUUUCAUUGACAUUAUUACAUAUGUUAACUUCAUGCUCAAUGCAAUCUUUGAAAAGAGGUAAGAUUUUUAAAUAGAUGUUCCUAUUACAGAACAUUCAGACAAUACAGAUAAGCAAAAAGAGGAAAAUACACAUCUCUCACAAUUUCUCCACUCUGAGAUAAUCCAUGUUAAAGUGGUUUUUCAGUUUUCUUUCCUUACAUCCAGGGUGAAGGGAAAAGCAUUCACCAGUUUGUUGUGGGGAGAGCAUGGUCCCUGUCUGAAAGGAACAUACUGAUGGUUUGAUUGGUGGAGGCCGCAAACGAUAAGCUCAAAAAAAAAAAAAAAAUCCAGUCUGCUGGGGCCUCCUAAACAGAGAGGUGCUGGGGGCUCCGGAAUCACUUCGUGCUUCAAGCUGUAAUGCAUGGGGUCUGCAGUUCCAGGAUCGGAGUUGGGGGUCAAGCUGAAUCUUUCUAUGUAAGAGAAAUGAAAGGAUUUUGAGGUCCGUUUUGGGAAGGAGCAAGAUGCCAAAUUAGGAGAAGGAAAAUGGGAUCAAGAGAGGUGGCCAUGGCAGGAGGGAUGGGGAGAUAAGAAAAACUCUUGAAGCUGCACGGUCUGGGAAGGACCUCUGGUUUCAUGUGAGAUACACGAUGCAUCCUGCAUCUUCUGGGAUUCUUCCAAAAAAUGUCAAGGAAUUCUUCAUCAGUCGCUAAUGCUUUUGAGGGAGUAGGUUCUUUUCCUUUACACAUAGGGUCCUUGCUACCUGGGUAUUGAUUAUCGGAGUCCCCCCAGUUGCCAGUUUUUUUCUUUUCCAUUGUGGUUUAUUACAGGAUAUUGACUACAGUUCCCUGUGCUCUACAGUAGGACCUUGUUGUUUAUCCAUCCUAUAUAUGAGUUUGCAUCUGCUAAUCCCACACUCCCAAUCCAUCCCUCCCCCUUGGCAACCACAAGUCUGCUCUCUAUGUCUGUGAGUCUGUUUCACAGAGACGUUCUUUUGUGUCAUAUUUCAGGUUCCACAUAUAAGUGAUAUCAUAUGUAUUUGUCUUUGGCUUACUUUACUUGGUAUGAUAAUCUCUAGAUUCAUCCAUGUUGCUGCAAAUGACAUUAUUUCAUUCUUUUUUAUGGCUGAGUAGUAUUCCAUUGUGUAUAUAUAUAUAUCAUAUCUAUAUCUAUAUACAUCACAUCUUUCUCUGUUCAUCUGUCGAUGGACACGUAGGUUGUUUCCACGUCUUGGCUAUUGUGAAUAGUGCUGCUGUGACCAUAGGGGUGCGUGGAUCGUUUUGAAUUAGAGUUUUGUCUGGAUGUGUGCCCAGGAGUGGGUUUGCUGGGUCAUAUAGCACCAGCUGCCACUUUGUUGGAGGAAGUCCAGGCUAACUAGUGUGACAACAUUCCCUAAUGCUCUGGCCACACAUAAAGUCAGUCAAUGCUAGAUAAUCUCUCCCCAUUUUUUUACUCCAAGAUUAUAUUUUGUAUUUUGUUUUAAGUAGGCUUUUUCUCUCUAUCUAAAAUGAAGAAGCAGAGCUGGUCUCCACCCACUGUUUUCUUGUCACUCUCUCCACGUUGUCUGAUGUGGUCAGCUUCUGGAGAGCAUAGCUCCAACAGAAUGCACAUUACUGCAAAGUGGAUUUCAAAUCUUGCAAAACAGUUGGGAUUUCAUGAGAGUGUUGAAAGUGAUAUUGAGAGAACUGCUCAAAACAUCUGCAGAGUCACUGACAAAUGAGGACCUGGCCGAAUUAGAGCAGUCAACGAUAGAGAGAAACUCAGCAAGGAUGAUCUCAGAUGCUGUUUCAGAGUGUGAUCUUACUACCAAAGGAUUAGGGGAGGUCCCCGGGAAAAGGGAUGAAGCACUUGAAUUGGGCAAAAGCAAUUUUGGAUUUUGGAUUUUGGACUUUAUGGAUUCAUUGUGAAACUCAACAGUGCUGCUAAGCCCAUCAUAGAUCUACUGAGGAUUCCCUUUGUUCAUUCUGAGAAGUGGUGCGUGGAUACAGUUUUUGUUUUUUUUAACGUCUUUAUUGGAGUAUAAUUGCUUUACAAUGGUGUGUUAGUUUCUGCUUUAUAACAAAGUGAAUCAGUUAUACAUAUGUUCCCAUAUCUCUUCCAUCUCCCUCCCUCCCACCCUCCCUGUCCCACCCCUCUAGGUGGUCACAAAGCACCGAGCUGAUCUCCCUGUGCUAUGCAGCUGCUUCCCACUAGCUAUCUAUUUUACGUUUGGUAAUGUAUAUAUGUCCAUGCCACUCUCUCACUUUGUCCCAGCUUACCCUUCCCCCUCCCCACAUCCUCAAGUCCAUUCUCUAGUAAGUCUGUGUCUUUAUUCCUGUCCUGCCCACAGGUUCUUCAUGACCAUUUUUUUCCCCUUAGAUUCCAUAUACAUGUGUUAGCAUACGGUAUUUGUUUUUCUCUUUCUGACUUACUUCACUCUGUAUGACAGACUCUAGGUCCAUCCACCUCACUACAAAUAACUCAAUUUCGUUUCUUUUUAUGGCUGAGUAAUAUUCCAUUGUAUAUAUGUGCCGCAUCUUCUUUAAUGGAUACAGUUUUAACCUGCGUCGUGUUAAGUGUCAGAUAAACUUGUUUUUUCCCUCGUUAGUUUGGUUUUUCCAGAUAAAAUUUGAAUCAAACUUCAUUUUCGGACUCUGUAGUAUAAAAUUUUUAGCUCAUUAUAGAAAAUCCAGAACGGGCAAAUAUAGAGAUAAUCGUGUAGUAAACUGCCUUGUAUGCAUUACCAAGCUUGAACAGUUAUUAACUAAUGGCCAAUUUUAAAAAGUUUUUCUUCAAAUGAGAACAUAAUGUAUAGGUAUGGAGUGCAUAAAUCAUACUUGUACAGCUUGUAAAUUUCCACCAAUUAAAAAUUCUAUUUAAUGACCAUACAAAUCAAGAGAUGCAAUGUCACCAGCACCCUGCUGAGGUUCUGACAAGCUGAGUGGUCCAAGCAGGUCGCUGGCCUCUCCAAGCUUCAUCUUCUUCAUCCAUAAAAAGGGGUCUGAGUUCAUACCAUCACGACGUUUCUGAGACAAGUGGGUUAAGUGAGAUAAAAGCACACUGUCCACGCUCAGUAAAUCGUGGUCUUCUUUAAAAUGACAUCUUUCUUCUACAAACAUUUCCCCAUCACGUUCUCUGGCAGGGGGCGGUCUCCUUCCA